AUGGGAUCUUCAGGUGAACAGGAGUACCCAUUAUCUCACCAUGCUAAGAUCUUCAGGUUAAAAGGUGUGAUGGCAAUCCGAUUAAGAACCACACGCACUGGUACGGCAGACUUCGUCUUGGAGUUCUUCCUGCCGACAGACUGUGAAGCAGAAAAUGAGCAGAAGACGGUGCUGAAUUCCUUGUCGGGAACCGUGCAAAGUCUAUGCCGAACACUACGCAUGGUUACAAACAAGGAGAUGCAGGACGACGCAAUGUGGGAAAUGAAUAAGAUCAGCUCGCUUGGUCUUCAGAAGAACAAGAAGGUGAAGAAAAGAAAACCAAUGGCACGAAGAUCACCUGUGUGGAAAAGCUUUACAGAGAUCAUAGUUGGAGAUACUGCUAAGGCUAAGUGCAACCAUUGUGAUCUUGAGCUUUGCUGUGAUUCAAAAAACGGUACAUCCUCAUUGAGAUCUCAUUUGAAAAGGUGCAAACUUAACCCCAAUAAUAGGAUCACGGGCCCCAUAUAA
rnacentral:rRNA from 1 species